ACAUGCAAGUCGAACGAGAAACGGGAGCAAUCCCGGAGUUAAGUGGCGUACGGGUGAGUAACACGUGGGUUACCUGCCCUCUGGUGGGGAAUAACCCUGGGAAACCGGGGCUAAUACCGCAUAAGCCCGAAAGGGGAAAGCCGAAAGGCGCCGGAGGAGGGGCCCGCGGCCGAUUAGCUUGUUGGUGGGGUAAUGGCUCACCAAGGCGACGAUCGGUAGCCGGCCUGAGAGGGCGCACGGCCACACUGGCACUGAGACACGGGCCAGACUCCUACGGGAGGCAGCAGUGGGGAAUCUUGCACAAUGGGGGAAACCCUGAUGCAGCGACGCCGCGUGAGCGAUGAAGCCCUUCGGGGUGUAAAGCUCUUUCGGCGGGGACGAAUCAUGACGGUCCCUGCGGAAGAAGCUGCGGCUAACUACGUGCCAGCAGCCGCGGUAAUACGUAAGCGGCGAGCGUUGUUCGGAGUUACUGGG
rnacentral:rRNA from 1 species